rnacentral:rRNA from 1 species
GUAGUCAUAUGCUUGUCUCAAAGAUUAAGCCAUGCAUGUCUAAGUAUAAGCAAUUACAAAGCGAAACUGCGAAUGGCUCVUUAUAUAAGUUAUCGUUUAUUUGAUAGUACCUUACUACAUGGAUAACCGUGGUAAUUCUAGAGCUAAUACAUGCUGAAAAUCCCGACUUCGGAAGGGAUGUAUUUAUUGGAUACAAAACCAAUGCCCUUCGGGGCUCUCUUGGUGAUUCAUGAUAACUUCUCGAAUCGCACGGCCCCGCGCCGGCGAUGGUUCAUUCAAAUUUCUUCCCUAUCAACUUUCGAUGCUACGGUAUUGUCCUAGCAUGGUUGCAACGGGUGACGGAGGGUUAGGGCUCGACCCCGGAGAAGGAGCCUGAGAAACGGCUACUACAUCCAAGGAAGGCAGCAGGCGCGCAAAUUACCCAAUCCCGACUCGGGGAGGUAGUGACGAUAAAUACCGAUACAGGGCUCUUUUGGGUCCUGUAAUUGGAAUGAGUACAAUUCAAAUCCCUUAACGAGGAACAAUUGGAGGGCAAGUCUGGUGCCAGCAGCCGCGGUAAUUCCAGCUCCAAUAGCGUAUAUUAAAGUUGUUGUGGUUAAAAAGCUCGUAGUAGAAGCUCGGCCUCCGGUCGGCCGGUCCGCCUCACCGCGUGCACUGGUUCGGCCGGGGCUUCACCUUCUGCGGAACCGCAUCUCCUUCACUGGGGGUGUCGGGGAAACAGGACGUUUACU